GCCUACGGGGCGCAGCAGUGAGGAAUAUUGGUCAAUGGGCUUACGCCUGAACCAGCCAAGUCGCGUGAGGGAAGACUGCCCUAUGGGUUGUAAACCUCUUUUGUCAGGGAGCAACGCCGGCUACGUGUAGCCGGACUGAGAGUACCUGAAGAAAAAGCAUCGGCUAACUCCGUGCCAGCAGCCGCGGUAAUACGAAGGGGGCAAGCGUUGUUCGGAAUUACUGGGCGUAAAGGGAGUGUAGGCGGUUUAGUAAGAUAGUGGUGAAAUCCCAGAGCUUAACUUUGGAAUUGCCAUUAUAACUAUUU
rnacentral:rRNA from 1 species